rnacentral:rRNA from 1 species
AUGGCCACGCCCAGCUUGCAAUACCAUUCCCAGCGCCGGUGGCAGUUGCUGCCGCCGGUAAUCCUAGUACUCAUCCUUUCCGCCGCGGCUGAAGAGCAGCGACCUGGUUGCCGCCGCACGUGCGGCGACAUGAUCAUCCCCUUCCCAUUCAGCAUCGGCCCCGGCUGCUCUCGCCAUGGCUUUGAGGUCUUGUGCAACCACUCCCGCACAUUCCUUGUUGGCAAUACAACAGAGCCGCUGGAGCUGGAGAGCAUAUCAGUUGCCACGGGCGAGGCACGAGCAUACGCCCCUGUCUCGUACCGAUGCAGGUCAAAUAACACCAGGACCGUGGUCAUAGUCUCUUAUAUUUGCUUCUUCCAGAAGCCCUUCACCGUCUCCUUGACAGGUAAUAUUCUUGUGGGUGUCGGCUAUAGAGCCGAGCCUCAACUGACAUACGGUCGUACGGGGGAGGAAAUCUCUUGCCUUGCAUAUGAUAGGCACAUCCAGACGGCGAGGAACGGGGCAGGGCUGCUGCGAGGCCACCCUCCCACUCAACACCCACUUCAAUAACUUCGGCUUGCAGCUCAAGCACGAGAUACCCAACAGCUCAAGCACGAGGCAAACCAACUCGUCGUGCUCCUACGGCAUGCUCGUGGAGAGGUCAUGGUACAACUUCUCUACGCUCGACAUGUACGGCAACAUGACGCUUCUCAAAAGGUUCCCCCGGGGCGUUCCCCUCGUGCUAGAUUUCGACGCCGGGAACACUUCAUGUCCAUCGGAAUGGACUCCACCGCCUCCCGACUAUGCCUGCGUCAGCGGCAACAGCUCUUGCGCCAAUACAACAAAUUCGCGUACCGCUGGCUAUAUCUGCAAGUGCUGGGACAACUACGAUGGCAACCCUUACGUCCCGAACGGAUGCCAAGACAUUGAUGAAUGCAAGCAUCCUGAAGUGUAUCCCUGCUCAAGUGGUGGGAUCUGCAAAAACACGCUGGGGGGCUAUGAUUGUCCAUGCAAAUUUGGAAUGAAAGGCCAUGGCAAAACAGGAACAUGCAAAUCUGUAUUCACCCCAGCGGCAAAGGCGACAGUGGGUGCAAUAGGUGGUACUCUUAUCAUGGUGGUUCUAUUUCUUGUUAUUCUUCACAAAGAAAAAAAGAAGACAAAAGAUUUUUUCACAAAGAAUGGUGGUCCUAUAUUAGAGAAGGCAAAUGUCAUUAAACUUUUCAAAAAGGAGGAGCUCAAGCCAAUUUUAAAGAAUAACAACUUAAUUGGAAAAGGUGGCUUUGGUGAAGUUUACAAGGGCCUUCUAGACAAUAAAUUAGUUGCAAUCAAGAAGCCAAUUAAUGGUACUGUGCUAGAGAAUGAACAAUUUGCUAAUGAAGUCAUCAUCCAAUCUCAAGUCAUCCACAAGAAUAUUGUUAGGCUCAUUGGUUGUUGCCUCGAAGUUGACGCCCCCAUGCUGGUCUACGAGUUUAUAUCCCAGGGUAGCCUCCACGACAUUCUUCACAACAACAACAACAAUACCAAGGAGGCUCUAAACUUGGAUGCACGUUUAAGUAUCAUUGCACAAUCAGCGGAUGGUCUAGCUUAUAUGCACUCAAAAGCAAAUAUUAGAAUUCUUCACGGUGAUGUCAAACCAGCAAAUAUACUCUUGGAUGAUGACUUUGUACCCAAGAUUUCAGACUUCGGCAUAUCUAGGUUGAUUGUGAGAGAUAAGGAACACACUGGGUCAGUCAUCGGCGACCUGAAUUAUAUGGAUCCAGUAUAUUUGCAAGAAGGCCUACUCACCGAAAAAAGUGAUGUCUACAGUUUUGGAGUUGUGAUCCUUGAGGUUAUUAGCAGCAGGAGGGCCCUACAUUCUGAGAAUAACAGCUUGGUAAAGAGCUUUGUUGAAGCCCAUAUGAAACAUAGAAAAGCGACCGAGCUUUUCGACAAAGAAAUUGCAAUAACAAAAGAUUUGGAGCUUCUUGACAGUCUAGCAUGUAUGGCCAUGGAAUGCCUUAGCCUUGAUGUGGAUCAACGACCAACCAUGAUGGAGGUAGCUGAACGACUACACAUACUGAGUCGGUCUCGUAAGGCGCAAGAUGUUUGUCAAUAA